CUUGCAUCAGAUGACGAGUGGCGCACGGGUGAGUAACGCGUAUACAAUCUACCUUUUACAGGGGGAUAGCCUUUAGAAAUGAAGAUUAAUAUCCCAUAGUAUGUUAACUUGGCAUCAAGAUAACAUUAAAGUUUCGGCGGUAAAAGAUGAGUAUGCGUUCUAUUAGUUAGUUGGUAAGGUAACGGCUUACCAAGACCGCGAUAGAUAGGGGCCCUGAGAGGGGGAUCCCCCACACUGGUACUGAGACACGGACCAGACUCCUACGGGAGGCAGCAGUGAGGAAUAUUGGACAAUGGGCGCGAGCCUGAUCCAGCCAUGCCGCGUGCAGGAAGACUGCCCUAUGGGUUGUAAACUGCUUUUAUACAGGAAGAAACCUUUUCACGUGUGAAAAGCUGACGGUACUGUAAGAAUAAGGAUCGGCUAACUCCGUGCCAGCAGCCGCGGUAAUACGGAGGAUCCAAGCGUUAUCCGGAAUCAUUGGGUUUAAAGGGUCCGUAGGUGGAUAAUUAAGUCAGGGGUGAAAGUUUGCAGCUCAACUGUAAAAUUGCCUUUGAUACUGGUUAUCUUGAAUUAUUGUGAAGUGGUUAGAAUAUGUAGUGUAGCGGUGAAAUGCAUAGAUAUUACAUAGAAUACCAAUUGCGAAGGCAGAUCACUAACAAUAUAUUGACACUGAUGGACGAAAGCGUGGGGAGCGAACAGGAUUAGAUACCCUGGUAGUCCACGCCGUAAACGAUGGAUACUAGCUGUUCGGUUUUCGGACUGAGUGGCUAAGCGAAAG
rnacentral:rRNA from 1 species